rnacentral:lncRNA from 1 species
UUGCCAUGAAGGGUAGAGGCGACAUAGGUGGCCGCGGCCUCACCUUGCGCCGCGUUGUCACUGUGGAGGAAAGCCCCGGACACGGCCGUGGAGCCAUGAUGGCUGUUUCCGGUCUCCGAUGUGAGGUGGAGUUGGUCCCCAGCUCCAACCGUGGGCCCGUGAGGUAGAGUAAGCAAUUCAAUAAAGAUAAAGAUAAAUUAUUUGAUUGCAAUUUCAUUACAAUUCAAUAAUUAAUUAAUUACAAUUUCUAUUUUGUAUUCUUGAGUCUUUCUUGGUGACUCCACAUAUAUCUUCUUCAUCACCUCUCAAUUGAAGAGAAAAAAUCACAUGAAAAAGACGAAGACAACAAUAACCACAUUAAGUAAAGCACGCUUUAAAAAAAAAAAACAAAUCUAUUUUAGAACAGGAGAAAUAUAUAUAUCUGAUGCAAGACGAAGACUUGAUGAAGAUUAUUCAAUUCAAUUAUACCACAAAAAUCAUUAUAAAAAAAAAAAAGAAAACAUAAUAACCAAAGCAUCACAAAACAACCAAAAAACUAAAACUGAGCAGAUGCAAAAAAUGCAUCAUCCAGAAGGAAUAACCAAAUCCGAAAAUAUAAACACUUCAACUGAUAGUUAAACCAAAUUAAUCAUCAGCUAGCUCAAGACUAAAAAUCCUCACCUUGUUUCAAAUGCUUAGUCCAAAUAGAUAUGAAAAAAAUGAAAAAUCUAAAUAAAUAAAAAAAUCAUAGCCCUCGAUUGAAACCUAAACAUCACAAUUUGACGUAAAAAAUCAAACCCUAAAUGGUAAAACUACCUCUGACGGAGGGCUGGCGGGAUCCCCAUAUCUUCUUGUCCACCAUUGUCUAAGGAGAGGUGAUGGUUGCUUGAUGGCGAUAGAUCUACUGGUAAAACCUAUAAAAAGUUAAAGAUAAACUACUAAUUACAUAAAAAACUGAACUUAAAAAAAAAAUAAAAAUUAAAACCUUAUUUACCAAUCCAAUGAUACCUUUUACACUACGAAAGACAAAAAAUCGUUAGUGAGGUAAAUAGCCCUGUUCUUAGGAAAAUUACUCCACGAACGGGGUAUUUUACUUUGAGAACGUAAGAGGUUCGUUUGUUGAGUAAAAGUGGUCGUUCCUAAAGUAAAUUGACUAAGAAACUUUAUUUACUAAUCCAACAAUACCUUUUACACUACGAACGACAAAGAGUCGUUAGGGAGUUUUAUGAAUUCUAUGUGGUGCUUUUGUUGGAAAUUUUUGUCUAUUUCGUUUUAUUAUUGUAAAUAAUGAUUUAAAUAUUAUUGCAAUUCAUGUUAUCAGACUUUGGGGCGUUAUAGUAGU